UACAGAGGUCUCAAGCGUUGUUCGGAGUCAUUGGGCGUAAAGGGUGCGUAGGCGGCGCGGUAAGUCGGGUGUGAAAUCUCGGGGCUUAACUCCGAAACUGCAUUCGAUACUGCCGUGCUUGAGGACUGGAGAGGAGACUGGAAUUUACGGUGUAGCGGUGAAAUGCGCAGAUAUCAGGAGGAACACCGGUGGCGAAGGCGGAUCUCUGGGCCAUUACUGACGCUGAGGAGCGAAAGCGUGGGGAGCGAACAGG
rnacentral:rRNA from 1 species